AGUGUCAAAGAGAUGUGAAUAAUAGAUGCUUGAGGAAAGGAAGUCCUACCAUCUUAGCUGUUCUUCUUUGUGUGAUGUGUUGUGUCAAUUACAUUGACAGAAGGCUAGAGAUCAGAAAUAACCCCUCUCAAUGGUGUUAAAAUCCCAUAUUGGUACCAGGUUUUGCUGGGAACAAAAAAGACUAAGGAUAACGUACUAGAAAGUUCUUGAAAAUUUAUUACUUGCAUUAAGAAGUAUUUGCUUAUCUCAAACUAUUGGAGGAAAUAGGAAAUAAAUGUAUUUUUGAAUGUUUGUAUAUGCUGCUCUUUAGACAUAUUGUAAGGGAUUUGUUAUUUGUAAUUGGAGAUAAACAUUUGGUAUUCUUUUUUAAAUUUGGCAAUUGUAUGUGACUUUUAUCAGUAAUUAGAAACAGUUAGUUAUUGGGUGUA